UGCCAGCCGCCGCGGUAAUACGGAGGGUCCAAGCGUUAUCCGGACUUAUUGGGUUUAAAGGGUUCGUAGGCGGGAUAUUAAGUCAGAGGUGAAAUCUCACAGCUCAACUGUGGAACUGCCUUUGAUACUGAUAUUCUUGAGAUAGGUUGCAGUAGGCGGAAUGUGACAUGUAGCGGUGAAAUGCAUAGAGAUGUCACAGAACACCAAUUGCGAAGGCAGCUUACUAAGCCUUAUCUGACGCUGAUGAACGAAAGCGUGGGUAGCGAACAGGAUUAGAUA
rnacentral:rRNA from 1 species